GAUGAACGCUGGCGGCGUGCCUAAUACAUGCAAGUCGAGCGAACGGACGAGAAGCUUGCUUCUCUGAUGUUAGCGGCGGACGGGUGAGUAACACGUGGAUAACCUACCUAUAAGACUGGGAUAACUUCGGGAAACCGGAGCUAAUACCGGAUAAUAUUUUGAACCGCAUGGUUCAAAAGUGAAAGACGGUCUUGCUGUCACUUAUAGAUGGAUCCGCGCUGCAUUAGCUAGUUGGUAAGGUAACGGCUUACCAAGGCAACGAUGCAUAGCCGACCUGAGAGGGUUAUCGGCCACCCUGGAACUGAGACACGGUCCAGACUCCUACGGGAGGCAGCAGUAGGGAAUCUUCCGCAAUGGGCGAAAGCCUGACGGAGCAACGCCGCGUGAGUGAUGAAGGUCUUCGGAUCGUAAAACUCUGUUAUGAGGGAAGAACAUAUGUGUAAGUAACUGUGCACAUCUUGACGGUACCUAAUCAGAAAGCCACGGCUAACUACGUG
rnacentral:rRNA from 1 species